GGAAGAGAGAGAGAGAAAGUGUUAUGAUUCAUGUCCUGUCCAUGCUGUGUUAAGCACUCAUUCAGUUCACCUGCCACGCCUGAUUGCUUACCUGUUCCACCUGGGCCUUGCCCUACUUAAACACCCCUCAGCCUCUGCUUCCCUGCCAGAUUAUCGACAGCCACGAGCCAGUAGAGAUCCAGCGUUUCCUGCCAAGCCUUCUGUGUUUCUUCGACCCCUCCUUCUGACCACGGAUUUACCCCUCCUGCCAAGCCCUUCACGGAUCCCUUCUAUUCUGGAUUUCUGGACCCUGACCCAAGCUCUGCCUCACGACCACCGAUUACUGCCUGCCCCUCUAAGCUAAGUCUGCUCUCUGUCCUCCUGUGUAUGACCUCUGCCUGUUUUUCGACAAAGUCUCUGGGUGCUGCAUCUCGGAUCUCCCCGUGGAGAUCUUCCUUGCCUCCACAGAAGCCUGUUCCUCUGGUUUCCUGCAUCUCCCUGUCAUCAGACCCUCUGUUCCUCUGCUCCACCCGUCCACUGCUCUACAGUGCUGUGUUUGAUGACCUCUCCCUUAGCUGAAACCAGUAUCUGAAAAAAUAAACUUUGUUUUCCUUUUUAUA